rnacentral:rRNA from 1 species
CCCUUAGAUGUCCUGGGCCGCACGCGCGCUACACUGAUGCAUUCAACGAGUUCUACCUUGGCCGAGAGGCCUGGGCAAUCUUUUGAACGUGCAUCGUGAUAGGGAUAGAUUAUUGCAAUUAUUAAUCUUGAACGAGGAAUUCCUAGUAAACGCAGAUCAUCAAUCUGCAUUGAUUACGUCCCUGCCCUUUGUACACACCGCCCGUCGCACCUACCGAUUGAAUGGUCCGGUGAAGCCUCGGGAUUGUGGCGAGUUCCCUUUAUUGGGAUUUUGUCGCGAGAACUUGUCUAAACCUUAUCAUUUAGAGGAAGGUGAAGUCGUAACA